AUUGCCUGUCAACACACGGUCAUGGAGGGGACCAUGCAAACACAACCACCUAGUGAUCCAGGUGGACAAGGCAGCGAUGGUAGAGUUGACAGUAAAUCUCGCUACGACUGGAAGGACAUUACUGAGGAGUUCAUGUCAUCGGCGUCAGCGCUACAGAUGGGGGAACUCCUUCAUGACACAAACUUUGGCUUGUUUGAAGCCAUGUCUGCCAUUGAAAUGAUGGAUCCUAAGAUGGAUGCUGGGAUGAUGUGUAACCAGAUUCAGAGGAAAGUUCUCACAUUUGAUUCUGCAUUAGAGAGUGGUGCUAUUAAGAUAAAAGAUCUGAGUAUUCCUGAACUGAUAGGGAUCAUGGACACAUCCUUAGCUUGUUUGGUAACUUGGUUGGAGGGCCAUUCCUUAGCUCAGACUGUGUUCACCAACCUCUUUCUACACAACCCCUACAUGAUAGAUGACAAAUGUCUGAAAGCAUUCAGUAUUCUGAUGCUGAAACUCGUAGACCAUAUCCGAGACAGGGUCAACAGGGCAGGGGUCUUUGAAGAGGAAGAUUUCCAAAGUCUGACCUAUGGUUUCAAAAUGGCUGCUGAUGUGACUGAUGCUAGAGCCACAGGGAUGAUGAAGGAAGUGGAAGAUGACCUUAACAGAAUCAUCAAGAUGACAAGAAGUAAAGUAGGAGAGGAGAGGGAUGCCCAGACAGAGCAAGAGCAUGAGAUAACCAAUGCCUUGUUUUCCCGAGUCAAGUUCUUCAGACUUUUUCUGAUGGGUCUUCUGUCCUUCAGUAAAGAAAAGUGUGAAGGUAUACCUCAGGCCCAAAAGCUGAUUUGCCAGCUUCUAGAGCUACUGCCCAUUAUUAGGGAUACCAUCUGUAUGGGCAUUCAGCCUGAUAACAAGGAAGUGGGUAAGAAUGAUUAUCCAACGAUCAUGGGAUUUGAACCACUUGUUAAUCAAAGAUUGUUACCUCCAACAUUUCCUCGAUACACCGUGAUUCGUAGUCGAGAGGAAGCCUUGGGUCACAUCGAAGGUCUGCUAUAUCGGCUGCAGAUUGUGACCACAGUCCCAGAACUCACAACUUUCCACAUUAUUAUGGAAGCUUUCCAAGAAUUUAGUAAAUCCUCCCCCUGUGUUUUAUCCAGGUCCAUAUUACAGUUGACACUGCUUCCUGUCAAUAAGCGAGUGUUUGGAGUACACACCAUGGUAGAUUUCCUCAAAGACACAAUCAGGAACUUCAUAGCACCUCCAGUUCUAAGCCAGAAGUCGGCCCUUUACAAUAACUCCCAGGCCAAGCAGUAUGUGGAUGCCUGGUUUGUUCAGGUGGUGCGCCCAUUUACUGCCCUGGUCCAGAUAACUGGGCAUAACCGGGCACGACAGAGGGACAAGUGGGCACACAUUCUAGAAGACCUGUCUGCUCUACAGGAAGAGGCCGACAAGGUAGAUGCUUGCCUGCAUCAGAUGCUGACAAAGAUGGAGCCCAACCGCCAACACAUUGCCUGUUUAGGAAACUGGGUCCUGUACCACACUCUUCAGGCCAUGAUCAGCUACCUGCUGGCGGGGUUUGAACUGGAGCUGUAUGCCACUUAUGAGUACCACUAUGUCUAUUGGUACUUGUAUGAAAUGCUAUACUCCUGGCUGAUUAAUACACUGCACAGAGCUGACAACUUCUUGUUAGAAAAUGAAACCAUGGCAGAUAGCCAACAGAAAGGAAGAAGUAACAAAAAGAACAAGAAGAAGAAAAGAAUCAAAACCUUGAACAAAGAGAUAACCCUCGCUCAGGCUGGGCAGCAGAUGUUUGGGGGCUACUACAAGGCAGUAAUGGGGUUCCGGUUGGACGGUAAGAUGCAGAUGCCUGAGUUUCAGUUUGAUUGUGAGGAGGUUCGAUACUCGCACAGGUUCCAGCCAUUCACCAAUGUGUCAACCCCUCCCUAUAUACCCUAUGUUCAAUACAAGGUCAGUAUGAAAACAGUUUCAAAUGGAAAUUUUUUUAUGAAUGAUAUGUAGUACUUUUCUUAAAAAAAAAAUAGAUGUAGAAUUUGAAUUAGUGUAUUGUUUUUUUUUUGGCUCAAGAGUCGGUGGUUAAAAUCAGUUUUGAAAAGUUGACACUUUUUAUUGUGCUGGAAUGAUACAUUAUUUUUGGAAAAAAUUGACCAAGCAAAAGAUGUUGAAUGAAAAAUAAAGCAUUUAUAUUCAUCUUUCACUGAAAAGAGUACUCAGUAUAUAGUAUAAUUAACUAAGUUUUAAAACUAAAUAAUCUUUCUUUGUCCUUUUUUUUUUAAAAGGAGAUGUCUGAUUUGAAUCGCUAUGAACCAGAUGCGACUGCUGUAAGCCUGUAUGGAGCUGCCUGCAAAUGUUUUCACCAGGCUAAAUCUUUACUGGAAAGCUUCCAUAACCCCUCAGAAGAGGUUCAAGCUAUGAUCAAGGUGGCCAAAGUGAAUUUUGUGGUAAUGAAAAUUUUAAUGGGAGGACACAAAAAAGAUUCACAAGAACCGCCAGUCUUUGAUUUCACAUCACACCCUGUGUAUCCAACCAUUAAAAUGGUGUAGCUGAAAUUGGGUACACACUGGUCACAUGACAGGAAGUCAUCUGAUGCCAAAGCAGGAAAAAACUUAUAAGGAAACUUGUUUAGCUAUAGCUAUCGGAAGUCUGUGAAUUGUAUGUUGAGUUUGUGAUGAGUGAUAACAUGUGAGGCAAUAAAUAGUUUUACUGAC
rnacentral:misc_RNA from 1 species